AUACUUACCUGGACGGGGUCAAUGGGCGAUCAUGAAGGCCCAUGGCCUAGGUUGGUGGCCUCCAUUGCACUUGGGAGGUGCACCCGCCUAAGGUCAACCCAAAGUGGUUGAGCCUACGUCAUAAUUUGUGGCAGUGGGGGCCUGCGUUCGCGCGGCCCCCUC
rfam:Citrus sinensis cultivar Ridge Pineapple sweet orange scaffold00144_contig_39, whole genome shotgun sequence.